GGAUGGGGCUUUUCCGGCCACCAUACUUUGUAUUUCUUCUUCCUGUUAUUAGGCAUUUGCGAAUUCCACUUCUAUCUCUCUUAACCGGUGCGCCAUCCAGUACAACAACCACCAACCUCCUCUCUCCGAUCCGCCGUAAACGUGAUCCACCGUAUACCUCCUCUCUCCAGAUCUCGUUCUUCUCUUCGUGGUUCUUUUCAAAGUUAUGGAUUCCAUGGAAAAAGGAAUGUUACGGGGAAGAAGAAGAAGAAUAUUGAGAUGAAGGAAUGAGUAAUGUUACAAUUAUGGAAAUUCAUAUGGUGGUGGGUUUGUUCUUGUUGUUGCAAUUGUAAUGAUAAAGAUUGAUUGUUGUUUAGAAACUGGAAAUACAGACAUUCAAAAGAAGAGAGAGAAACUGGAAGGAGUAAGGAAAGAUCAAAAUGCAGUAUUUGUGGUACAUGAUAAUAUAUGUGUUUUGAUUUUUGAUGUUCCACUUUUGGAAAUUUGUUUCUGAAAUCAUGUGAUGUUGUUUCUGGAAAUUUGUUUAAGGUGAUGGUGAAAAGAAGGUGAAGAAAGGGAGAAAUAA